rnacentral:tRNA from 1 species
AGUUAUUAACUUAAAGAAUUAAGUUUAUGUCUUGAAAAUAUAAUAAAAGGGUUUAAAUCCCUUAUUAACUU